rnacentral:rRNA from 1 species
GAUGAACGCUGACAGAAUGCUUAACACAUGCAAGUCUUUGGCGAAGCUGUGCUUGCACAGCCUAGCCAAGGCGGACGGGUGAGUAACGCGUAAGGAACUUGCCCUGCAGUCAGGGAUAACAGACGGAAACGACUGAUAAGACCUGGUAAAGUCAGGCGGACUCAUGUCCAGCCUGAUGAAAAGAGAUGCUGCAGGAGAGCCUUGCGUCCUAUUAGCUUGUUGGUGGGGUAACGACCCACCAAGGCGAUGAUAGGUAGCCGGCCUGAGAGGGUGGACGGCCACAAGGGGACUGAGAUACGGCCCUUACUCCUACGGGAGGCAGCAGUGGGGAAUAUUGGACAAUGGGGGCAACCCUGAUCCAGCAAUUCUGUGUGCACGAUGAAGGUUUUCGGAUUGUAAAGUGCUUUCAGCAGGGAAGAAAAAAAUGACGGUACCUGCAGAAGAAGCGACGGCUAAAUACGUG